rnacentral:rRNA from 1 species
UGCCAGACUCCUACGGGAGGCAGCAGUGGGGAAUAUUGUACAAUGGGGGAAACCCUGAUGCAGCGACGCCGCGUGAGUGAAGAAGUAUUUCGGUAUGUAAAGCUCUAUCAGCAGGGAAGAUAAUGACGGUACCUGAGUAAGAAGCCCCGGCUAACUACGUGCCAGCAGCCGCGGUAAUACGUAGGGGGCAAGCGUUAUCCGGAUUUACUGGGUGUAAAGGGAGCGUAGACGGCAUGGCAAGUCUGAAGUGAAAGCCCGGGGCUCAACCGCGGGACUGCUUUGGAAACUGUUAAGCUGGAGUGCAGGAGAGGUAAGUGGAAUUCCUAGUGUAGCGGUGAAAUGCGUAGAUAUUAGGAGGAACACCAGUGGCGAAGGCGGCUUACUGGACUGUAACUGACACUGAGGCACGAAAGCGUGGGGAGCAAACAGGAUUAGAUACCCGAGUA